CUGGUGAGUGAGUGAAUUGAGAUGAGGUAUGGAGGGACUUGGCUCCUGGUGAGUGAGUUAAUUGAGACUCUGUGUGGAGGGACCUGGCUCCUGGUGAGUGAGUUAAUUGAGAUGAGGUAUGGAGGGACCUGGCUCCUGGUGAGUGAGUUAAUUGAGAUCAGGUAUGGAGGGACCUGGCUCCUGGUGAGUGAGUUAAUUGAGAUGAGGUGUGGAGGGACCUGGCUCCUGGUGAGUGAGUUAAUUGAGAUGAGGUAUGGAGGGACCUGGCUCCUGGUGAGUGAGUUAAUUGAGAUCAGGUAUGGAGGGACCUGGCUCCUGGUGAGUGAGUUAAUUGAGAUGAGGUAUGGAGGGACCUGGCUCCUGGUGAGUGAGUGAAUUGAGAUCAGGUAUGGAGGGACUUGGCUCCUGGUGAGUGAGUUAAUUGAGACUCUGUGUGGAGGGACCUGGCUCCUGGUGAGUGAGUUAAUUGAGAUGAGGUAUGGAGGGACCUGGCUGCUGGUGAGUGAGGUAUGGAGGGACCUGGCUCCUGGUGAGUGAGUUAAUUGAGGUCAGGUAUGGAGGGACCUGGCUCCUGGUGAGUGAGUUAAUUGAGAUCAGUUAUGGAGGGACCUGGCUCCUGGUGAGUGAGUUAAUUGAGAUGAGGUAUGGAGGGACCUGGCUCCUGGUGAGUCUCCUGGAGGCAGCUGCUAUCUGGGAACACAGGCACAGGUGGGAACAGACCUUCACUUCCUGCUCACUUAGGUUCAGUGAGUUCUCC
rnacentral:lncRNA from 1 species